GGAGGGACCGUCUCUAAAGUUACAUACGACAUUGUUAAACACGAUUCUAACUUCAAUAGCAUUUGAAGGGAAUGACUUACAGUCACAAGACCAACUGUAAAGUGUUCAUCUAGGUUUCAGGGUCACAGAAGAGCCUACCCCAGGGAGCAUCAGGCACAAGGUGGGGUACACCCUGGACAGGGUGCCAGUCCAUCCAGGGCACAAUCACAUACAUACACUACAGACAUUUUAGAUACGCCAAUCAACCUACCAAGCAUAUCUUUGGACUGGGGGAGGAAACCGGAGUACCCAGAGGAAACCCCCGCAGCACAGGGAGAACAUGCAAACUCCACGCGCGCACACACAGCCACGGGAAUCAAACCCCAACCCUGGCAGUGUGAGGCGAGCGUACUAACCACUAAGCCACUGUGCACCCUGACUGCAAGUCCCUUAAUUUCCACAUUUCUGCGAAUAUCGAACGUCCAAUGUCAAACCAACUUUAUUCCAGCGGCAUCCCACUAGAACUUGUAGCGGGGCUGUGGGGAUUUGUGUUCAUUAAGCCACAGGAAUAUUAGUAACGUUGGGCGAGGAGGUCUGGGGUUGAGUUGGUUUUCCAGUUCAUCCCAAAGGUGUUCAGUGGCGUUGAGGUCAGGGCUCGGUGCAGGAUACUCAAAUUCUUCCACUCCAACCUUGGAAAAAUUUGUCUUCGUGGAGCUCACUUUGUGCAUUGUCAUGUCAUGCUCAAAGAGGUUUUAAAUCACCCUUAAGGUGACUUAUACUUGCAGUAAGCUAUGCAUACACAUACGCAAAAUGUAUGUAUGCUGUGGUCAUUUGGCUCGUCACUUGUGCAUGUCCUCAGAAAUGAACACUAGGCUUCCACAUGGUGCAACAGUGGAAGCAGGGCAGCAUGUGAUACUGAUACUUUUUUUGAAGGUUUUAAAGAGAAGCGGAGCUUGUGAGUGUGUGAAUUCUGACCUUCUUAUAGCUUUUAUCACAGGAGAAACACCACCACAGCUCUGUUAAUGACUCUGUUCAUUUGUAAAAUAUCCAGCUGAACACUGUAAUUCCAUACUUGGAUAAAAUCUAUUCACAUACCAACUGUACCAACAUGAUACUGUAGAUCAGGCUGGUUCGAACUCUGGCCCUAGAGGUCCACUGUCCAGUUUACCUCCAACCUCAAACUGAAUUUUACAGCAGAGGACUUAUUUCUGUGAAAAUCUGGUUCCCCACCAAAAAUUACACUUUCCUCAACCCCAUUUAAAAAAAAAAAAAAAAAAAGUCUCAAAUCUGAAAUGUUCUGCAUGCACAGUAUACUUACCUAAUGUAGGUACCCCCUAAAAAAAAAUUAAGACAGAGUCGAAUCUCGAUAGUCAGGCCCAUCCUGUGUCGAGAUAUUGAGGUUUCCUUAAACAGCUCUAUAACCAAAAUUUGUUGUGUGCCAUGACAAACAUGGCCGUCAUAGUUAAACCAAGUAAAAUAUAAAUAAAUAAAAACAGGUGAUUUUGUAUGCCAAUACAUAGAAGUAAUCACUCAAAAAAUAAAUAAACAGUGAAGCAACCAACUUUGCAAUUAUUGGACCACUUGAGAUGGAAUGACCCUAGCAUAAAGACUAAUAUUGUAGAAUCUUUAAAUUGCUUUAUUUCUUUUAUUAUACAAUCACAGAAGAGAACACUUCAUAUAUAAAUAUUUUUUCUUUAUUACUUGAAAUUGGAUGAUAUUAUGCAUUUACCAUGAAUAAACAGUCUUAACUUGAUACAUUCUACUUACAAAAUCAACCUUCAGUACAAGAGUAACUUCCUACUCUGUUACGUUAGUCUGUGUGUUAUGUUUGAUGCAUUCUGCUGCAUUUUGUCCGCAGGAUGUAAAGUGUUGUAAAUAAGGCCUCAGGCACACUCCUUCAGUGGCAUAUUGCUCUGGUCAUUCAGGACCACUUCCUCUUUCUUGGGGGAGUCUUUGGAUUUUCUCAACUUGAAACCUCUGAAGUAAUGAAAACAAUAAAGAAUAAAAUUGUAUUAAAAAUAGUCUAUAUUUAAAAAACAAAAGUAUAGGUUUGAUAUAAUUUGUUAUACCUCUUCAUGUCUGAGCAUAUAUAUAAAUUGAAAAAUCAUUUCACUUUUUUAGAGCCUCUAGUUUAACUAUAUUUUGUGCUACUAAAACAAAAAUCAAUAAUCUGUCAAUUUAUGUAAAAUUGUGUACGUUUUGGUUUUUCCAUGUCAUAUUAAAAAAAGGAUUACUCUUAGCAGUCA